ACAUGACUUGAGAAAAUUGAGAUAAUUAAAUUUACUCUGAUGUUUCAUAUAUUGAAGGAUCCUUGCAUUUUUUUCAGAGUUUAAAUUUAAUCCCACAUAGACUUCACUUUUAUUGUUAAAAUUAUGAAGUGCGUCCAACUCACCAGAAGUCUAAAAUAAUUAGUCCUGCUAAAUUGUUAAAUUCACACUUUGGAGAUUUGUAAAGA
rnacentral:lncRNA from 1 species